GACGAACGCUGGCGGCGUGCUUAACACAUGCAAGUCGAACGAAGUGGCGAACGGGUGAGUAAUACGUGGGUAACCUGCCCUCCUUUGUGGGAUAAGCCUUGGAAACGGGGUCUAAUACCGAAUAAAGGGGGAUGGGCUCUCGGCCUAUCAGCUUGUUGGGGGGGUGAUGGCCUACAAAGGCUGUGACGGGUAGCUGGUCUGCGAGGAGGAUCAGCAACACUUGGACUGAGACACGGCCCAGACUCCUAAGGGAGGCAGCAGUGGGGAAUAGUGCAAAAUGGGCGAAAGCCUGAUGAAGCCAUGCCGCGUGUAUGAAGAAGGCCUUAGGGUUGUAAAGUACUUUCAGCGGGGAGACGUUACCCGCAGAAGAAGCACCGGCUAACUCCGUGCCAGCAGCCGCGGUAAUAC
rnacentral:rRNA from 1 species